rnacentral:rRNA from 1 species
AUUGAACGCUGGCGGAAUGCUUUACACAUGCAAGUCGAACGGCAGCACGGACUUCGGUCUGGUGGCGAGUGGCGAACGGGUGAGUAAUGUAUCGGAACGUGCCCAGUCGUGGGGGAUAACGUAGUGAAAAUUACGCUAAUACCGCAUACGAUCGAUGGAUGAAGGCGGGGGACCGUAAGGCCUCGCGCGAUUGGAGCGGCCGAUAUCAGGUUAGGUAGUUGGUGGGGUAAAGGCUCACCAAGCCGACGAUCUGUAGCUGGUCUGAGAGGACGACCAGCCACACUGGAACUGAGACACGGUCCAGACUCCUACGGGAGGCAGCAGUGGGGAAUUUUGGACAAUGGGCGCAAGCCUGAUCCAGCCAUUCCGCGUGCAGGAUGAAGGCCCUCGGGUUGUAAACUGCUUUUGUACGGAACGAAAAGGUCCUGGUUAAUACCUGGGGCUCAUGACGGUACCGUAAGAAUAAGCACCGGCUAACUACGUGCCAGCCGCCGCAGUAA